AUCCGCAGCUUCCCGCACUGCUCUGCCGCCCUUCGGAGCAGCGCCGCCGGUGAUUCGGACUCGGCGGAGAGCUUGGAGAAGCUUGGAAGAAAGUGAUCUGUCGGAGUUAUUUGCUGCCGGAUUGGACACCGCCGUUGACGCCAUCGAGAGCCGCUGGAGAGAGAGAGAGAGGGACAAGAGUUUUUUGUUUUUUUGGGCUGUGUGGUGGUGGAGAGGGAAUCACGGGAAAGGAAAGCAGCAAAGAGAGCAUGCGUCUGCUAUUUGUGAAUUGAGUCGAGUUGUGGUUUGGGAAGGUUUCUUUUAAAUGUGCAGUGCAGUGCAGAGUCCAUGUGUGUGGGUUGUGCUGCCCAUCAGCAUAUGCAGAUAUUGGCAGGGCGAGCUGGGGAGUCUUAUUCUUAAUUUCUGGCCCCCACCCAACAAUUUAAAAAUAGAAGUGCAGCAUCUGUUGUUUUAGUUACGAAUUAAUCCUCCGUAUGGUUGGUAGGAGUGUAUGCAUUAUUACUGUGUUUGGACGCCUAACAAUUAAUUCGAAUCUGAAUUUAAAAUCCAAAUAUUGCAGACGCUGAUAGGAUUAAAAUCCAUCUUGAGUCGGCCUGUUUGAAUUGUUAUUUUCUAGAGUUCCUAUCUAUAUAAAUGUGUUUAUGAA